AUGGAUGAUGUUUACUCAACUCUGUUUAAUCCGCUCACAGGAAUAGAAUCUCCUGUGGGUAUUAACCACAAUCAUGGCACUGGCAAUGCCCACAAUGGUAUGGACCCAAUACCCCUCCCGCUCUUCUCUCUCCCCUGCCGAUGUUUGCCAUUAUGCCGGAGGACGUCGCCGCGUGGGAUGCUGAACGGAGGCACCGCCACCGGGAUCUGGAUGUUUCACAGGAAGCUUGUUCACCCAAUCAACCUGCACGUGGUCGUGAAGAUCGGUUCAGACGAAGUAGCGUCCUCGUCGGCGUUGCAGAGGAGGGCCUGA
rnacentral:rRNA from 1 species